AUUGAACGCUGGCGGCAUGCUUUACACAUGCAAGUCGAACGGCAGCGCGGGCUUCGGCCUGGCGGCGAGUGGCGAACGGGUGAGUAAUGCAUCGGAACGUGCCCAGUAGUGUGGGAUAGCCCGGCGAAAGCCGGAUUAAUACCGCAUACGACCUGAGGGUGAAAGCGGGGGACCGAAAGGCCUCGCGCUAUUGGAGCGGCCGAUGUCGGAUUAGCUAGUUGGUGGGGUAAAGGCUUACCAAGGCGACGAUCCGUAGCUGGUCUGAGAGGACGACCAGCCACACUGGGGCUGAGACACGGCCCAGACUCCUACGGGAGGCAGCAGUGGGGAAUUUUGGACAAUGGGGGCAACCCUGAUCCAGCCAUGCCGCGUGCGGGAAGAAGGCCUUCGGGUUGUAAACCGCUUUUGUUCGGGAAGAAAUCCUCUGGGCUAAUACCCCGGGGGGAUGACGGUACCGGAAGAAUAAGCACCGGCUAACUACGUG
rnacentral:rRNA from 1 species